UACGGAGGGUGCAAGCGUUAUCCGGAUUCACUGGGUUUAAAGGGUGCGUAGGCGGGUUGGUAAGUCCGUGGUGAAAUCUCCGAGCUUAACUCGGAAACUGCCGUGGAUACUAUCAAUCUUGAAUAUCGUGGAGGUAAGCGGAAUAUGUCAUGUAGCGGUGAAAUGCUUAGAUAUGACAUAGAACACCAAUUGCGUAGGCAGCUUACUACACGAUGAUUGACGCUGAGGCACGAAAGCGUGGGGAGCAAACAGG
rnacentral:rRNA from 1 species